rnacentral:lncRNA from 1 species
UAAUGAGUAGUUGAAGACACUUUUGUUGGGAUUAGGUGUAAAUUACUCUAUUAGUAUGUGUUUCUAUUUAUCAUGGUUUUAUAUAUGGUUUUAGUUGUCUCUCAAUAUUGAUAUUAUAUUUGUUUUCAUUGUUUUAAUCUUUGAUUUGAAUUGUUAUAGACAUAUACUUUUUGAAUCUAAGAACUAGAAUAAUAUCUAUUGAACUCUAAAUUCUAGACAUAGAUUUAGGUUUAAUAUUCACUUAGAGUAUCGAAUCUUAAUGAUAUUGUAUUGAUUGA